GUUAAGAGACAAAGCGUACAAGGUGGAUGCCUUGGCAAUCAGAGGCGAAGAAGGACGUGCUAAUCUGCGAAAAGCUCGGAUGAGUCGAUAAGAGGCGUUUAAUCCGAGAUAUCCGAAUGGGGAAACCCAGUGGGUGAAGAACCCACUAUCAUUACCUGAAUCCAUAGGGUAAUGAGGCGAACCGGGAGAACUGAAACAUCUAAGUACCCCGAGGAAAAGAAAUCAACCGAGAUUUUGUGAGUAGCGGCGAGCGAAAGCGAAAGAGCCUGUUAGUGAUAGCGACAGAGACAGAGGAAUGUGCUGGGAAGCACAGCGAGACAGGGUGAUAGCCCCGUACUCGAAGUCUGGGUCGUGGUACUAAGCUAACGAGAAGUAGGGCGGGACACGUGAUAUCCUGUUUGAAGAAGGGGGGCCCAUCCUCCAAGGCUAAAUACUCCUGAUUGACCGAUAGUGAACCAGUACUGUGAAGGAAAGGCGAAAAGAACCGGGGUGACCGGAGUGAAAUAGAACCUGAAGCCUUGUACGUACAAGCAGUGGGAGCCCGAAAGGGUGACUGCGUACCUUUUGUAUAAUGGGUCAGCGAGUUAUAUUUUGUAGCGAGGUUAACCGAAUAGGGGAGCCGAAGGGAAACCGAGUCUUAACUGGGCGAAUAGUUGCAAGGUAUAGACCCGAAACCCGGUGAUCUAGCCAUGGGCAGGUUGAAGGUUGGGUAACACUAACUGGAGGACCGAACCGACUAAUGUUGAAAAAUUAGCGGAUGACUUGUGGCUGGGGGUGAAAGGCCAAUCAAACCGGGAGAUAGCUGGUUCUCCCCGAAAUCUAUUUAGGUAGAGCCUUGAGCGGACACCUUUGGGGGUAGAGCACUGUUUCGGCUAGGGGGCCAUCCCGGCUUACCAACCCGAUGCAAACUACGAAUACCGAAGAGUGAUACUCAGGAGACACACGGCGGGUGCUAACGUCCGUCGUGGAGAGGGAAACAACCCAGACCGCCGGCUAAGGUCCCAAAGUACUAAUUAAGUGGGAAACGAAGUGGGAAGGCUUAGACAGCUAGGAUGUUGGCUUAGAAGCAGCCAUCAUUUAAAGAAAGCGUAAUAGCUCACUAGUCGAGUCGGCCUGCGCGGAAGAUGUAACGGGGCUAAAAUUAGUCACCGAAGCUGCGGCAUCAGGCGUAUCACUUGAGGAAUAUUAGUGAUACGCCUGUUGGGUAGGGGAGCGUUGUGUAAGCGGAAGAAGGUGUAUUGAGAGGUAUGCUGGACGUAUCACAAGUGCGAAUGCUGACAUAAGUAACGAUAAAACGGGUGAAAAACCCGUUCGCCGGAAGACCAAGGGUUCCUGUCCAACGUUAAUCGGGGCAGGGUGAGUCGGCCCCUAAGGCGAGGCUGAAAAGCGUAGUCGAUGGGAAACGGGUUAAUAUUCCCGUACUUGGUAAAGCUGCGAUGUGGGGACGGAGCAGGUUAGGUUAGCGUGCUGUUGGAUAUGCACGUUUAAGUUGGUAGGUGGGGAGCUUAGGCAAAUCCGGGCUCCUAUAAACACUGAGAGAUGAUGACGAGGCCUUAAGGGGCUGAAGUAACUGAUACCAUACUUCCAGGAAAAGCCACUAAGCGAAAGGCUUUACUAAACCGUACUGAAAACCGACACAGGUGGUCAGGUAGAGAAUACUCAGGCGCUUGAGAGAACUCGGGUGAAGGAACUAGGCAAAAUAGCACCGUAACUUCGGGAGAAGGUGCGCCGGCGUAGAUUGUAAGGGCUUGCCCCUGAAGGUUGAACCGGUCGAAGAUACCAGCUGGCUGCAACUGUUUAUUAAAAACACAGCACUCUGCAAACACGAAAGUGGAGGUAUAGGGUGUGAUGCCUGCCCGGUGCCGGAAGGUUAAUUGAUGGUGUAAUCGCAAGAGAAGCAUCUGAUCGAAGCCCCGGUAAACGGCGGCCGUAACUAUAACGGUCCUAAGGUAGCGAAAUUCCUUGUCGGGUAAGUUCCGACCUGCACGAAUGGCAUAAUGAUGGCCAGGCUGUCUCCACCCGAGACUCAGUGAAAUUGAAAUCGCCGUGAAGAUGCGGUGUACCCGCGGCUAGACGGAAAGACCCCGUGAACCUUUACUAUAGCUUGACACUGAACAUUGAAUUUUGAUGUGUAGGAUAGGUGGGAGACUAUGAAGUAGUGACGCCAGUCAUUAUGGAGUCGACGUUGAAAUACCACCCUUUAACGUUUGAUGUUCUAACGAGACAUCGAUUACAGGUGUUCGGACAGUGUCUGGUGGGUAGUUUGACUGGGGCGGUCUCCUCCCAAAGGAUAACGGAGGAGCACGAAGGUUUGCUAAUCACGGUCGGACAUCGUGAGGUUAGUGCAAUGGUAUAAGCAAGCUUAACUGCGAGACGGACAGGUCGGGCAGGUACGAAAGUAGGUCAUAGUGAUCCGGUGGUUCUGCAUGGAAGGGCCAUCGCUCAACGGAUAAAAGGUACUCCGGGGAUAACAGGCUGAUACCGCCCAAGAGUUCAUAUCGACGGCGGUGUUUGGCACCUCGAUGUCGGCUCAUCACAUCCUGGGGCUGAAGUAGGUCCCAAGGGUAUGGCUGUUCGCCAUUUAANNNGNACGCGAGCUGGGUUUAGAACGUCGUGNGACANUCGUCCCUAUCUGCCGUGGGCGUAGAAGAAUUGNUGGGCUGCUCUAGUACGAGAGGACCCGGAGUGGACGCACCGCUGGUGUUCCGGUUGUGUCGCCAGACGCAUAGCCGGGUAGCUAAGUGCGGGAGAGAUAAGUGCUGAAAGCAUCUAAGCACGAAACUUGCCAAGAGAUGAGUUCUCCCAGACUUUAGGUCUGUAAGGGUUGUUUAAGACGAAGACGUAGAUAGGCGUGGUGUGUAAGCGUAGUGAUAUGUUGAGCUAACACGUACUAAUUGCCCGAGGGACUUAGCCAU
rnacentral:rRNA from 1 species